GUGAAAAUGCUAAAGGGAGAUUUCACCGUUUUUGUUUUACACCAAGACCUCAUUAGACCAGGUCCAGAUCAAAAACCACUGCACCUAGACCUCUCAAAUCUGGACUGGAUUGAUGUACAGACCCUGAAGGUUCAUAAAAACACAGUCUCUGAUUUGUGAAACCUUUAUUCUAUUUGUGAAAAUGCAUUAAAGACACAUUUCACACUUUUUUCAGCAUAUAGACCGCAUUAGACCAGGUCCAGAUCCAAGACCACUGCACCUAGACCUCUCAAAUCUGGACUGGAUUGAUGUACAGACCCUGAAGGUUCAUAAAAACACAGUUUCUGAUUUGUGAAACCUUUAUUCUAUUUGUGAAAAUGCAUUAAAGACACAUUUCACACUUUUUUCAGCAUAUAGACCGCAUUAGACCAGGUCCAGAUCCAAGACCACUGUACCUAGACCUCUCAAAUCUGGACUGGAUUGAUGUACAGACCCUGUAGAUUCAUAAAAACACAGUCUCUGAUUUGUGAAACCUUUAUUCUAUUUGUGAAAAUGCAUUAAAGACACAUUUCACACUUUUUUCAGCACAGAGACCACUUUGGACAAGGUCCAGAUCCAAAACCACUGCACCUAGAACGCUCAAAUCUUUUUACAUGGAGAAGUUGUUGAAAAGGCACAGAGUCAGUAAAAAAGUCCGCAAUUUUCGUUCUUUUAAGUUUUCAUGGCCUCACCUCUGUUUUUGUAACAUUGUGUCAAGGUGCCUCUUUGUUUUCUGCUUCUCUGCUUUCCUUUGCAGGUUCCAGGUCGUGGGUCGUCAUCUUAAUAUUUUUAAACUAUGGACAAUCGGGUAGGGCUGAAACUGAAGCAACUGGCUGAUAUACAGAGUCUUCAAUCUGGAAGUACGAGUGCUGGUACAGUGAACAUUUAAGGUCAUUUGAGCUGAGAUCCUUAGACAACGUCUCUGUGCAUCAACUGUCGGAGUUAAAUGACGCAGAAAUGGCAGCUCAAAAUUUCCUACUUCAUGUCCAUACCUCCAUGGACAUUGUCCGGAAGAUGACUUUAUCUUCACGUCCAGAAUCUGUGGAUGAGCUAAAAACAAUGCUUAAAGAAAGUUUUAAUCUAGACUUUGACUUUAGCUUAUCAUACCAAGUUCCAGACUUUGACGGGCAGUUAUGUUCCCUUGUAGACAUUGAGGAGCUUCCACAGAAGGCUGUACUAAAAGUUCUACGGUCUGAGAGUGAUACCAGUUCAGUAGCAUCAGAUGACACAAUAAUAUUGCCCCAUGCCAUGACUCCAGACAGGGCUGAGACAUGGCCUGAUGUUUUUCCAGUGCCCACUUUUUCCUACGAGGUAGAAUUUAUACUUGGUGAGGGAAAUGUUACAUAUGAGAGAACAGGGAAAACUGUUAAGUUAUCUAGGGGACAAAAGCAUGACAUCCUUGUGACCCUUGCAGCCAAAAUGCAUAGCUUCAAAGCAUACCCUAAUGAUAAGGAAGUUUCAGUGAUAGCAGAAGCACUUGUCACUAAACAUCCUUGUCUAAAAGAGCCAGGAUCUCAGACAGGAUGGUAGGUUGGAAAAAUAGUCUGAAGUUUAAGAUGGGUAACUAUCGGACUAAGUUGAGUCGGGCAGUAUUUCAUGAGGUAGCUGUAAAUUCUGGGAAGAGGAGUAGAAAUAAUCCACAAAAACAAGCUCCCCACCCUAACAUCAAAAGACCAAAGAGGGCAAAAGUGAAUUUCCUCCCUAAUUUCCCAAGAGGUGAGGAUGGUGCAAGCCUUGAGCGAUUGAGACUCCAAAUGUUAGAUGAAGUUAGGAUACGCGACAAAAACCAACUGAUUGCAAAGUUGAUGCAGACCACCUUUGCCCUGCGGCGCAACAAGGUCAUCAAUGAAGACCUCCCUGUUGGAGAGAUCCUGGAACGCUGGCCUGCCCUUAAAAUAGAGUCACAGAUUUGUGCCGAGUUUCACAGAAUCACAAACAUCCACCUAAAGAACCACUUCUAUGCGGAGUUGGACCGACAUGCCCCGUCUUCAGAGUUUGUUCAGGAAGAAAUCUGCACGUGCAGGGAAAGUAGCCGAAGUUCUGGAUCAGCUCUUUAACACUUAUGACCUCCAGGAACAAGUUGAUGUCCAUGUCAGACGUGCUGCUGUCCUCCGUGCUCUCCCUGCAUAUCUGCAUGAGGAUGACUCUGGGUUUCAGAGAAGCAAUGGGAUGUGGCACAGUCUGAUGAACCAAACAUCGACGACAUACCGGUUGGGCUCCUCUUGAUCAGUGCCAAUUCAACAGAUGCCACGUUCUUCUGCCCAGAGAGGAUUGCGAUUGUGCUUGAGGGUAACAUAGUUAUCGAAUGCACCACAUUGGCUGACGCAUUUGUCAUGCUUUUUGCACUGAUUUAUGCCUUGCACCUAAGUUACCCAAAAGGCUUGGCCAAUACAUUUGACUUUACCCAGAAAGUCUUGAUGGGCCUGGAAGAUAGGAAGUUGAGGCCCAGGGUGUUGAGCCUUAAAAAUGACAUUUUGGCAGUGGAGUAAUUUCACUGUAUAAACAAACAAAGCUAGCUGACAGUUGUUUGACCGUCAGCUCCUUUAGGGACAGUUGCUCCUUUACUUGAAACUUUUCAAAUGCACACGCACUACUGUCUUUUGGGCAUACCAUAGAACUAUGAAAGGAUUUAUUAUUUUUUUUAAGCAUCUUAUAGUAAAGUUUGAUAGUGUUUGUACUGUAUGGAUGUAUGGAAAACAUUUUGCCAUACUGUUUAUACUGCAGUACCCAUUUCUUAGGUAAUUCAAAGUGUAUUAGGUCUUUAUGGGGCAGUUGGUAAAUCAAUGGGCAGAACUGUUUAUGGAAAUCUUCGAUUUUAGCGUGAAUGUGAUGAAGUACCUUGAAUUUGUAAGGUAUUUAAUUGGCUGAAUCAACCAACCACAGACUUUCCCAUCUGGUUACUUUAUCCAUAAAAAGUUUCUUAAUUGAUUUUCCAUAAAAAUGACUAUCAAGACAUAUAUAUUGAUAAAAGGACAUGCCGUGCAUUUGUCCACUCAUAGAAGUGAUGGUUUAAAAACACUCUAUUCCGGCCAUUUCCUUAGGCCCUUGCACUAUUUUUAAAAAUACUGUUAUUUCUAUUUCUGAUGUCACUGUUUGACUUUUGACUGUUUGAUGAAUACGAUUGUGAUUAGGGUUCUGUGAUGUAGUGUAUACUGUGAAAAGUGUCAACCACCAGAUAUUUUGCCUUUAUGCUUAUAAUGAGUCAAAAUGCUUCAAUAUCUACAUUUAUUUGGCCAUUAUGUGUAAUGUGCCGAAUGGUUUAUGGUGAUUUUAUUUUAUUAUGAUUUUGGCAUCAAUGUGAUGCUGUGCCUAGUCAGGUAUUUAAUUUACAGAUUAACCAAAUGCAUACACAUUUAAAAAACACUGUCACACUAUAUAUCAUCACAAUGAAAGGUUGCAUUUUAUUCAUAUUGUCCACUUCAAGAGGUGAUAAUUCCUCAGGCCAUUUCCCAAGGCUCUUGCACUGUUUUUAAAGUGUUUGUUUCCAUUCGCCAAACAUUUUUUAUAGUUAAUGUUUGGUUUAUGUUAUAUGGUUAUUCAAUAAAAGAGUGACUUCAUUUAA